AACACGUAAGCAACCUGCCUAUCAGAGGGGAAUCUCUGUGAGAAAUCAUUGCUAAUACCGCAUAAGCUAGUAGUAUCGCAUGAUAUAGCUAGAAAAGGAGCAAUCCGCUGAUAGAUGGGCUUGCGUCUGAUUAGCUAGUUGGUGGGGUAACGGCCUACCAAGGCGACGAUCAGUAGCCGGACUGAGAGGUUGAACGGCCACAUUGGGACUGAGAUACGGCCCAGACUCCUACGGGAGGCAGCAGUCGGGAAUAUUGCGCAAUGGAGGAAACUCUGACGCAGUGACGCCGCGUAUAGGAAGAAGGUUUUCGGAUUGUAAACUAUUGUCGUGAGGGAAGAAAUUGACAGUACCUCAGGAGGAAGCUCCGGCUAACUAUGUGCCAGCAGCCGCGGUAAUACAUAGGGAGCAAGCGUUAUCCGGAUUUAUUGGGUGUAAAGGGUGCGUAGACGGGAAAUUAAGUUAGUUGUGAAAUCCCUCGGCUUAACUGAGGAACUGCAACUAAAACUGAUUUUCUUGAGUACUGGAGAGGAAAGUGGAAUUCCUAGUGUAGCGGUGAAAUGCGUAGAUAUUAGGAGGAACACCAGUGGCGAAGGCGACUUUCUGGACAGUAACUGACGUUGAGGCACGAAAGCGUGGGUAGCAAACAGGAUUAGAUACCCUGGUAGUCCACGCCGUAAACGAUGAAUGCUAAGUGUUGGAGGGUUUCCGCC
rnacentral:rRNA from 1 species